rnacentral:lncRNA from 1 species
GUAGCUAACCAUUGGACUGUCCCUCUAUCGCGCAUCCCCAACUCGAGUUAUACUCAUCAUAAACUUGAUCAUAAUCAUGAUCCAUAUCCAUCACCCUCAUUGGUGAAUAAGCCGUUUCCUUUACCUAGGCAAAACCAGCUUCAACCCCCAUGAUAAAUUCUAAAGUAUUUCAACUGUUCGAAAUUGUUUUAGUCUUGCAAAAGUUCAGAAUUCAAAGAGUACUUAAAACCUUUCUCAAAACAUUUAAAAAUGAAACUUGUCAAUAGACAGUCAGGUCUUUUCAAAAUCAUUAAAACUCUUUAAUUGAAACUCCCAAGGCAAAUUCAAAGGCAUAAACCCUUUUCACAUUCAAUUAGCUUUAAAACACAAGUUUCAUCUAAAUAACUUUCUCCUGAAAGAGAUACAAUGCCCUUCUUAAGAAGCAAGACUAAAUCACAAUUCCUUCUUUAAUAAUUCAUUUCAAAAGUAUGAAUCAUCCCUUUCUUGAUAAUUCAAAUAAAAUAGUAGAAGUCUUUAACUCAUCAUUCUCCGAACAACAUUUCAAUAAAGACUCGGAUUUUAUAGAAAUUUUGGCAGCACCUCCC